GCAACGCUCGGCUUCCUCUCCUUAACGACUAGCCUCCUUUGAGUUUCUUCAACACAGGAAUACAACUUGUCGUGAUCUCGUCUGUAGCCAGGUGACCAAGGACUCAUUGAAAGUUCAGAUACCCACAAAUGAGGAGCCUGCCUUAUUCCCUGCCCAUAAGCCUCAGGACUGCCUCAGUGUUUCAUUCCUUUGCUCAACUCACUAAGGAAGAAUAAGCCGUGUCCUUCCUACCCUUCAAUUGCGUACUAGAGAUGAGAAGACAUAAGUUUCUACAAGACUUUGCUAAAACAUUACUUCAUUCUGUACUCAGAAGAGAAUUUUCCUGUGUACUUUAGAGAACAUUCCAAGGACAAUGACAAAGCAGAGCCCCAUCAAGAUACCAAACCUACACUUCAGCUAAUGUGAAGUUCUAUUUUCCUCAGGAAAAAGGAGUUUUCUAGGAGACCUCCUGGCUGGCUCUGACAAAGCAAGGUGCCAUGUUGUAAACUGCCUAUGGAGAAGGCCACGUGGAAAGGAACAGCUAACAGCCAGCAAAGAACUGAGGUUCUCAGGAAAACAGCCUGCAAGGACCUGAAUUCUGCCAGCAAUCACGUGAGACUGGAAAUUGAUCCUUACCAGUUGAGCUUUCAAAUGAGACUCAAGCCCUGGCUGACCUCUUGAUUGCAGUCUUGUGAGAGAUCACGAAGCAAUGGAUUCUGUUACAUUCUGACCCACAGAAACUGUGAGAUAAUAAAUGUGUUGUUUUAAGGCACCAAGUUCAUGGUAAUUGGUUACACAGCAAUAGAUAACUAAUACUACUCAGUAACCCAGACUUCAAUAAGAAUAUAGUCAAGGGGUCUUCCCUGGUAGUCCAGUGGUAAAGAAUCCGCCUCCCAGUGCAGGGGACGCAGGUUUGAUCCCUGGUUGGGGAACUAAGAUCCCACAUGCCUUGAGGCAGCUAAGCCCACUCGCCACAACUACUGAGCUCACACGCCUCAAUGAGAGAGCCCACAUGCCGCAAACUACAGAGUCCAUGCACUCGGGAGCCUGCACGCCACAACUAGAGAGAGGAAAAACACGCAUACCACAACUAGAGAGAAGCCUGUGCAUCAACGAAAGAUCCCGGACACCUCAACAAAGACCCCUCAUGCUGCAACUAAAGACCCGACACAGCCAAAUAAAUAAGCAAAAUAAAUUUUUUAAAAAUGCGUAAUCCACAAAGAAAAGAUUGAAAUAUUUUUUUAAAAAAUAAGAAUAUAGUCAAUAUAUGAUUUCUUAUAGGUGAUUCUCUUUUUAUUUAUUUUUUUGUCUGCGUUGGGCCUUCGUUGCUGCAUGCGGGCUUUCUCUAGUUGCAUCAAGGUGGGGGGCACUCUUCAUUGUGGUGCACGGGCUUCUCAUUGCAGUGGCUUCUCUUGUUGCAGAGCUCGGGCUUUAGGUGUGCAGGCUUUAGUAGUUGUGGCUUGCGGGCUCUAGAGCGCAGGCUCAGUACUUGUGGCGCAGGGGCUUAGUUGCUCUGUGACAUGUGGGAUCUUCCCAGACCAGGGCUCAAACCCGUGUCCCCUGCAUUGGCAGGCAGAUUCUUAACCACUGUGCCACCAGGGAAGUCCCUCUCUUUUUUUUUUUUAAUUGAAAUAUAAUUGACAUAAAAGGGCAAUUCUUUUUUGCCAUAUGAAAAAAUAUGCAUAUUUUGUUAAGAAAUCAAGUCCUUUGUGUAUUUUGAACAUUUGUCAAGAGUUAAAUGUUAUUUGAUCACUGAUAAUUUAUUAAUUUUUAUAAUAUUAAUUAUCAAACCCCAUAAAAUAAGAUUAUAGUAUCAGAUGCUAGAGAAUAGGGACAUGGAGGCAGUGAACUGAAGACUCUUUACAUCACAAACCAAGAUCUGUUUUUGUUAGUAACAACUGAACUUACUUCUUUUUGUAUGUGUGUGGAUUUUUUAUUUUUUUUAAUUAAUUUCUAUUGGAGUAUAGUUCAUUUAUAAUGUUGUGUUAGUGUCUGCUGUUUAGCAAAGUGAAUCAGUUAUACAUAUACAUAUAUCCACUCUUUUUCAGAUUAUUUUCUUAUAUAGGUCAUUACAGAGUGGAUACAGAUAUGAAGAAAGCAAUUUUUUGUAUAUAAUGUAUAAAUAAAAAGUAACACAAACAAUUUUCCAAUGACACUCUAAAUAACAGCUAACUGCAUAGUUGUAAAUCAGCCCAGUUUAUGAAAGAUGAUUCAGUACAUAUGAAGCAUUCAAUUAAUCAUACUGCACACAUAUAUAGUUAUCUACACCCCAGGAAAAAUAUAAUACAUAGUGCUUAUUAGAAUCUUUGAAAACAAUCCAAGUCAAUGCUGCAGAGAAUUCUGCAGUAUUUAUCUCUAAAAAUAUCUUCAUAGAAUCUCCAUUGGACCAUAAUCCGUAAAAUCCUUACGACUUACUGAAUCUUAUAUUGAAAGAUUCCAAAGCAUUUUUACACACAUUAUCUUGCUCAGGUUUCACAACUGCCAUGAGGUUGGCAGUGAAGUUAUUAUUAAUCCCAUUUCUAGAUAAGGAAAUAUGGAGUCAGAGAUGUUAGUUUAUUUUUUUUUUAGGGCAAAUUGUUGAAAGCAAGAUGGAAAUACAGGUCUCUCAUUACCUUUAAGGAAUAUUGUUGAAAAAACAAUAUUCCAUUUGGACCAGCUGUCAUAGAAGAAGCACCUAGGCAAAAUAGCACCACCUCUGCAGGAAAAAACCUAAAUUUCUACUCAACUGCUUAAUUCAGUAGGCAUUUUCCACCUUUAACCUUCUCAUAUAAAUUUAGGCUUCAUUAGCUUUAGUUAAAAGUAACGGGCUUCCCUGGUGGCUCAGUGGUUGAGAGUCCACCUGCCAAUGCAGGGUACAUGGGUUCGUGCCCCGGUCCGGGAAGAUCCCACAUGCCGCAGAGUGGCUGGGCCCGUGAGCCAUGGCCACUGAGCCUGCGUGUCUGGAGGCUGUGCUCCGCAGCGGGAGAGGCCGCAACAGUGAGAGGCCCGCGUACC